GCCGUAGCUGCCGCCAGGGGUCGUUUUGCAGGGACCUGAGUUCUCCAACCGAGUUCGCGGAUACUCGUGGACUAGCGGAGGCCCUAGAGGACCUCACUCUCACUUGUUUUGUAGUGGCGAACCCACGUUCGUCUGGUACCUAGGGUGGCUUGGCGGCCGCGUUCGCAGCGGUCACCUGGAGCCCCUGGCCUCCGGGUCCCCGUCAGUCCCGCCCAGUGCGUCUCUUGUUCCAGCAUCAGCGCUGUCUGAUCAGGAUGCUGACCAGGAUGCUGUUCUGGUUUUGGGAAAGGGUGGUCUAACUCUCUACCUCCAGCCCCUGCCCUAGUUGGCCUUUGCUGAACUCUGAAAUGGCUCGCCAGGGGCUUCGACAGCCCACCUUCCGAGCCCUGCUGUUGACGCGGUCCUCGGUGGCAGUUCAAUGCCUAUGGAACGGUUGGAGGGCAGAACUGCUCCCUGGACGCACAGGGGCUGGAUCUUACUGGGCAAAAAGCCUCACUCAGCAAAGAAAAUAGGGACCGCUACCUUUGAACGUUGUUUUUUGAGACAGGGUUUUGCUACGUAGUCCAGGUUGGCCUUGAAUUAACUCUGUGGCCCUGGAAGGCCUUGAACUGAAGCGAUCCUCCUGUCUCAGCCUUCCGAGUGCUGGGAUUACAGGUGUCUGGCUUGCAACAUUGAUUUUUACCCAGUGCUCCUCAGUUUUAUGAAUAUUUACUCAGUGCUGUCUCUGUGCCAGGCUUUGUGCUAGACGCUAGGAUUAUGGCUUUUUCUUGGUGCUUUCUGCCUCAUCAGGGACAGGAGGACUUGUGAAUAUGUGAUGUGAUUGUGUCUAGUACUAGAAGUGAAAAUAUAUAUGAGGAGCCAACUUGGAACUGGUGGUUGGGAAAGGCCCUCUGAGGAAGUGAUAGUCAGACCUGAAGGGUGAAUUGCAGUGCAUGCCAGGCAGAGAAAUGGAAAAGAGGUUGGUGUAUUUGAGCAGCCAGUAAGGCUGAAGUCUCUUUCACUGGUGGCUUAUAUUCUAAGUAGGAGAAAUCAGGAAAGUACAUACACUGUAUAAGUAAUGUGGUGGAAUAUAGACUUCAAGAAAAAAAUAGAGAUUAGAUUUGAGGUUCUUCAGGAGAGACCAGUUUGCCUAACCUUUGAAAGCCGGGCAAGGUAUUAGUUGAGAAAGAGCCUCAUUUCUUGAACAUACAUCAUAGGCAGGCACUGUGCUGUUUUUUUGUUUUGGGUUUCUUUCCCCCCAACUUUAUCUUAUUUCUCACAGCAAAACUGGGAAGUAUUUUACAGCAGAGGAAAUUGAGGCUUAAUGCUUGCCCCUGGUCAAGGAGCUGGCACACAGGAGAGCCAAGAUCAAGCAGCUUUGGGGUGUUAUUACAGAGCUGUCAGGAGAAGGGGCCAUUGGAUUUGGUAAUUGGGAGCCAGGUGACAGGCCUAUGAGAUGGGGCACAGGCAGUGGGGUCUGAGGAAGGCGCUGCCCUGGGUGAGUUUCUCUUGUGCUCCAGGGUACAGAUAUCAAUCUGGAAGGACCAGGUCUGCAGUCCACCUGUGGAGGAAGGCAACCACUGCAAGCUGUGCAGCACCUGGUCAGGAGUGUCCAGAGCAAGGAGAGGCUACUGCAUGUGCGGUGCCCCCCGCCCCCAUUCCUGCCCCUGGAAGACUGAAACACUCCCUCUGCCUCAAAAGGAAGCAGGGUCACAGACCCCAGGACACCCUACAGAGAAGGAAUGAGAAAAGUAACUGAGACAACACUCAAGAAACAGAGGAAUACACUGUCUUGCUUGCCCUCUGUGAAGAGUGAUGUCAGAGAGCACCCAGGUCCUCAAGGAGCUUGAGACUCUGUUGCUCACAGCAGACAACUGGGAGAGGGUGAAGCUAUCCAAGUGUGGAUGGAACCACCCUUCAAAUGGCAGGUCGAACUCCUGUGAGGUCUCCCCACCUUGCACCACUUGAUACUGGCAGUUGGACAGAAUCAGCGGAAUCAGGUCACGCUCCACGUCGUAACUGAUGACAUGCAGUAACAGAGAGGAAAGGGACCUGCCGCUCAUACUUUCAACACUCCUGGACAAUUCCUUCGCCUGACUUAUGAGCAGCCAUAGGAGGGGUAACCCUAUGUGGCUCUUCAGAAGCCUCCUGUGGUCCUUCCCCAAGAGGGUUCAGCAGACGUGAGGGACAGAGGCGCCAGACAGUGGUCACUCACCUCCAGCUCAGUGCUGGAGAUUGAACCCAGGGCCUUCACCCUGACCUACAAUCCAACCACUCCCCACCUUUUAAUUUUGAGACAGGUUCUUGCUAAA